CGUUACUGACGCUGAGGAGCGAAAGCGUGGGGAGCGAACAGGAUUAGAUACCCUGGUAGUCCACGCCGUAAACGUUGGGAACUAGAUGUGGGGACCUUUCCACGGUCUCCGUGUCGCAGCUAACGCAUUAAGUUCCCCGCCUGGGGAGUACGGCCGCAAGGCUAAAACUCAAAGGAAUUGACGGGGGCCCGCACAAGCGGCGGAGCAUGCGGAUUAAUUCGAUGCAACGCGAAGAACCUUACCAAGACUUGACAUAUACCGGAAACUUCCAGAAAUGGUUGCCCCGCAAGGUCGGUAUACAGGUGGUGCAUGGUUGUCGUCAGCUCGUGUCGUGAGAUGUUGGGUUAAGUCCCGCAACGAGCGCAACCCUCGUUCUAUGUUGCCAGCACGUCAUGGUGGGAACUCAUAGGAGACUGCCGGGGUCAACUCGGAGGAAGGUGGGGAUGACGUCAAAUCAUCAUGCCCCUUAUGUCUUGGGCUUCACGCAUGCUACAAUGGCCGGUACAAAGGGCUGCGAUACCGUAAGGUGGAGCGAAUCCCAAAAAGCCGGUCUCAGUUCGGAUUGAGGUCUGCAACUCGACCUCAUGAAGUCGGAGUCGCUAGUAAUCGCAGAUCAGCAACGCUGCGGUGAAUACGUUCCCGGGCCU
rnacentral:rRNA from 1 species